GAUGAACGCUGGCGGCGUGCCUAAUACAUGCAAGUCGAGCGAACGGACGAGAAGCUUGCUUCUCUGAUGUUAGCGGCGGACGGGUGAGUAACACGUGGAUAACCUACCUAUAAGACUGGGAUAACUUCGGGAAACCGGAGCUAAUACCGUAUAAUAUUUUGAACCGCAUGGUUCAAAAGUGAAAGACGGUCUUGCUGUCACUUAUUGAUGGAUCCGCGCUGCAUUAGCUAGUUGGUAAGGUAACGGCUUACCAAGGCAACGAUGCAUAGCCGACCUGAGAGGGUGAUCGGCCACACUGGAACUGAGACACGGUCCAGACUCCUACGGGAGGCAGCAGUAGGGAAUCUUCCGCAAUGGGCGAAAGCCUGACGGAGCAACGCCGAGUGAGUGAUGAAGGUCUUCGGAUCGUAAAACUCUGUUAUUAGGGAAGAACAUAUGUGUAAGUAACUGUGCACAUCUUGACGGUACCUAAUCAGAAAGCCACGGCUAACUACGUG
rnacentral:rRNA from 1 species